AUUGAACGCUGGCGGCAGGCCUAACACAUGCAAGUCGAACGAGUGGCGGACGGGUGAGUAAUGUCUGGGAAACUGCCUGAUGGAGGGGGAUAACGAUUGGAAACGGUAGCUAAUACCGCAUACCAUCGGAUGUGCCCAGAUGGGAAGAACUAGUAGGUGGGGUAACGGGUCACCUAGGCGACGAUCCCUAGCUGGUCUGAGAGGAUGACCAGCCACACGGCAACGAAGACACGGACGAGAAUCCUACGGGAGGCAGCAGUGGGGAAUAUUGCACAAGGGGCGCAAGCCUGAUGCAGCCAUGCCGCGUGUAUGAAGAAGGCCUUCGGGUUGUAAAGUACUUUCAGCUGGGAGGCGUUACCCGCAGAAGAAGCACCGGCUAACUCCGUGCCAGCAGCCGCGGUAAUAC
rnacentral:rRNA from 1 species